UACGUAGGGGGCAAGCGUUAUCCGGAUUUACUGGGUGUAAAGGGAGCGUAGACGGUGAUGUAAGUCAGAUGUGAAAGCCCGGGGCUCAACUCCGGGACUGCAUUUGAAACUAUGUUGCUAGAGUGCAGGAGAGGUAAGUGGAAUUCCUAGUGUAGCGGUGAAAUGCGUAGAUAUUAGGAGGAACACCAGUGGCGAAGGCGGCUUACUGGACUGUAACUGACGUUGAGGCUCGACAGCCAGGGGAGCGAACGGG
rnacentral:rRNA from 1 species